UUUUUGAAUCUCAACCGUCGAAUUAUCUAAAUUUCCCUUCAACAUGAGGUUUGCGGUGCUCUGAAUUUCCUUGGUGGAAGUGAAUGCAUCGUCUAAAACACAAUCAAGCUUGCUGCAGAACCGACGAAGCUUGUGAAAAGCUAUUUAUGUGGCGAUCUGGAAGAAAAACGAAUGAAAACAACUUACAUCUAAUUGAGAUGAAAAAAAGAAGACGAGACCAGAGUAGCAGGUACAUUUCAACCGGGACAUAAUAAAGGUGCGGAUCACAUAUUUUUUCCCAGAAAGAAUUGUCAUUAGAAGCCUUGUAGUUAUGAAGCAAAUGGAGCAGUAUUGUGACAACUAGGAGCAUAGAGUUAUAAUAAAUUAAGAUGUCAUUUGACAAAUGCAUUUUGUAUUUCUUUGGGUUGUCUCUGAGUUAUAUUAAAAUUGGUUUCAUGAUUUUAAACCUUUGUGUUUGAGAUUUAUUCCCCCCCCCCCCAAAAAAAAAAACCAAAAAAACCCAAAAAAAUGAAAUCUUGAGGGGGCAAAUAGUUUUUCACGGCACUGUAGAUGCAGAACCAAUUCUCUCCAAUCAUGAUUGGAGGGAUAUUCAAAAUC